rnacentral:rRNA from 1 species
AACGAACGCUGGCGGCAGGCCUAACACAUGCAAGUCGAGCGAGACCUUCGGGUCUAGCGGCGGACGGGGUUAGUAACGCGUGGGAACGUGCCCUUCUCUGCGGAAUAGCCACUGGAAACGGUGAGUAAUACCGCAUACGCCCUUCGGGGGAAAGAUUUAUCGGAGAAGGAUCGGCCCGCGUUAGAUUAGAUAGUUGGUGGGUAACGGCCUACCAAGUCUACGAUCUAUAGCUGGUUUUAGAGGAUGAUCAGCAACACUGGGACUGAGACACGGCCCAGACUCCUACGGGAGGCAGCAGUGGGGAAUCUUAGACAAUGGGCGCAAGCCUGAUCUAGCCAUGCCGCGUGUGUGAUGAAGGUCUUAGGAUCGUAAAGCACUUUCGCCAGGGAUGAUAAUGACAGUACCUGGUAAAGAAACCCCGGCUAACUCCGUG